GCAGCCCCUGGGAAGCCAGAACCACGCCGCGUCCAGAGCUCCUUCUAGUCCCCCUCAGCGCAUGCAAGCCAUGUAUGAAUUCCAGGCCAGGAACAACAAGGAGCUGACUGUCGUGAAAGGGGAACUGCUGGAGAUUCUAGACCAGAGGAAGAAGUGGUGGCUUGCUAGAAACAGCGCCGGCGAGAGGGGCUAUAUCCCGAAUAACAUCGUGGGGCCAGUGGAUCAGGAGCCUGUGGAGAACAGCAUGAA